CUAAAUGUUAUUGAAUCAGGAGAACAACAACAAGUGAAGGAAACAGCUUAGGGAAACUGGUUGAAGGUACUCUAGGGAUAAUGCACUGGGCCAGACGCAUGGAAAAGGAGAUCAACAGAAUCUUCCAGUACAUCAGUGGAGCCCAGCAGCUGAAAUGGCAGAACAGAUGGUCUGGUAGUCUGCAGUAAAGCCUCGAUGGGAGCCUUGCAUCGUCUCCUCAUUCAUUCACCCAAAAUCCCGCCCAGUGUCUAAAACAACCCGGGAUCUGUGGGAGUGAAUGUUUCACAGGCAGGCACUAGGUACACAGUGCAGGAUCCUGUGCUCAUAUAAAAAUGCACAUGAGCUGAACUAACCUUGUAUCUAACUGUGGUUUCUACCCAAGCCCAACAUAACAUCGCCCUGUUUGAUA
rnacentral:lncRNA from 8 species